rnacentral:rRNA from 1 species
UCGAGGAUUUUUCUCAAUGGGGGAAACCCUGAAGGAGCGACGCCGCGUGAGGGAUGAAGGUCUUCGGAUUGUAAACCUCUGUCAUCUGGGAACAAUGUGAUUCACCUAACACGUGGAUUAUUGAUAGUACCGGAAGAGGAAGCAGUGGCUAACUCUGUGCCAGCAGCCGCGGUAAUACAGAGACUGCAAGCGUUGUUCGGAUUCAUUGGGCGUAAAGGGUGCGCAGGCGGCCCGUUAAGUCGGAUGUGAAAUCUCAUAGCCUAACUAUGAUAGGUCAUUCGAAACUGGCGGACUUGAGGACUGGAGAGGAGACUGGAAUGGUCGGUGUAGCGGUGAAAUGCGUAGAGAUCGACCAGAACACCGGUGGCGAAGGCGGGUCUCUGGACAGUUCCUGACGCUCAGGCACGAAAGCCAGGGGAGCAAACGGG